rnacentral:piRNA from 1 species
UUACAAGCGUAUUCUUCGUGGUUGC